UACGUAGGGGGCUAGCGUUGUCCGGAAUCAUUGGGCGUAAAGCGCGUGUAGGCGGUCCGGUAAGUCCGCUGUGAAAGUCGGGGGCUCAACCCUCGAAUGCCGGUGGAUACUGUCGGGCUAGAGUGCGGAAGAGGCGAGUGGAAUUCCUGGUGUAGCGGUGAAAUGCGUAGAGAUCAGGAGGAACACCCAUGGCGAAGGCAGCUCUCUGGCUUCACCCUGACGCUGAGGCGCGAAAGCGUGGGGAGCGAACGGG
rnacentral:rRNA from 1 species